GUUACCAAAACCUUGGUCCUAGUCCCUGAUGCAAUCCAAUAACAAGAACAUGGUUUGAGAAAAAGGAAAAAGAAGUUUUAUUGCUUUUCUAGUAAAGGAGAAACACAGGGAUUUCUUUCCCAGAGGCAGUGACCCAGGGGGCUUUUAAAGAGGUGAUUCAAAAAGCUACAUUCCACGGGUUCUCUGCUGGAGUUGUAAUUCACUUGUUAAUUGGGGAGGCAGUCAUUUCUGAGAUCUUCUGGUACUAUCCCCAAAGUCUGGAUUACUUCAUUCCAAUGGUGAGUGUGUACUCAAGGACACAUAAAUCUGCCUGAUAUGGGGAAGAAAGGGAAUCCUGUUUCCCCUGAGAUUAAGGAGGGGGAAAGAUUAGGGAGGAGCAGGGAGAGUAGAAAAGAAACACGUCCAUUUUAAAAUAAGUUGCAGUGGCAGAGUAGCAAGGGCUAUCUUCAAGGCAUAAAGUGGACCACUGUUACAUGAAGAGCAAGGUCAGUGGAGGGCCUCUAGCCAUCAUCUCCUGGCUUUUCCCCUGCAAUCCUGCUCAUCCAGGGGAAACCCAUAGCUGAUGACAAAGCAAGAUGUUGGCAGACGGCCUAGCCACUUCUACUCAAUGUGAACUUCUCCUACAGGCAAUCUUUGCACCUUAUUGGACCGAGAGGCUUAAGUGUUUGCCACCAUCUAAUGAUUUCCCCUGCUUCC
rnacentral:lncRNA from 1 species